rnacentral:rRNA from 1 species
UACAGAGGGUGCAAGCGUUGUUCGGAAUUACUGGGCGUAAAGCGUGCGCAGGCGGUUAUAUAAGACAGUUGUGAAAUCCCCGGGCUCAACCUGGGAACUGCAUCUGUGACUGUAUAGCUAGAGUACGGUAGAGGGGGAUGGAAUUCCGCGUGUAGCAGUGAAAUGCGUAGAUAUGCGGAGGAACACCGAUGGCGAAGGCAAUCCCCUGGACCUGUACUGACGCUCAUGCACGAAAGCGUGGGGAGCAAACAGG